rnacentral:snoRNA from 1 species
CACGUGGAUGACAUAAUUUGCGAUUGAGUCUUGUGACCGGAAACUCUCGCCGGAGUUUCUCAACGGCACGAGAGAAAUGAUAUUCAAUUUCUUACAUAUUCUGAGC